rnacentral:lncRNA from 1 species
GGAAAAGAAAAAGUGAAACAAAAAAUUGAGCUUUAGUCUCAACAGCGCUCGCUCCUGAGUUAUCUCAGCUCUACCAGCAGGGGUAGCUGGUUCACCCCCAAGAGAAUCCAGACUCCUCCUUGCCCAGUGAAGGUUCUUGUAAGUGGAUUCAUACCACGUAGCUCCUCUGGAAGCAAGAGAUUAGAGUGA